GACGAACGCUGGCGGCGUGCCUAAUACAUGCAAGUCGAGCGCGGGAAGCCGUCUGAACCCUUCGGGGGGACGACGGUGGAAUGAGCGGCGGACGGGUGAGUAACACGUAAAGAACCUGCCCAUAGGUCUGGGAUAACCACGAGAAAUCGGGGCUAAUACCGGAUGUGUCAUCGGACCGCAUGGUCCGCUGAUGAAAGGCGCUCCGGCGUCGCCCAUGGAUGGCUUUGUGGUGCAUUAGCUAGUUGGUGGGGUAACGGCCCACCAAGGCGACGAUGCAUGGCCGACCGGAGAGGGUUGUCGGCCACACUGGGACUGAGACACGGCCCAGACUCCUACGGGAGGCAGCAGUAGUGAAUCGUCCACAAUGGACGAAAGUCUGAUGGAGCAACGCCGCGUGAACGAUGAAGGCUUUCGGGUCGUAAAGUUCUGUUGUAAGGGAAGAACAAGUGCCGCAGGCAAUGGCGGCACCUUGACGGUACCUCGCGAGAAAGCCACGGCUAACUACGUGCCAGCCGCCGCAGUAA
rnacentral:rRNA from 1 species